rnacentral:rRNA from 1 species
AGCGAACGCUGGCGGCAGGCCUAACACAUGCAAGUCGAACGGGUCCUUCUGGGUUAGUGGCGGACGGGUGGGUAACACGUGGGAACGUGCCCUUUGGUUCGGAACAACUCAGGGAAACUUGAUCUAAUACCGGCUGUGCCCUUCGCGGGAAAGAUUUACCGCCAUUGGAGCGGCCCGCGUCUGGUUAGCUAGUGGGUGAGGUAACGGCCCACCAAGGCGACGAUCAGGAGCUGGUCUGAGAGGAUGAUCAGCCACACUGGGACUGAGACACGGCCCAGACUCCUACGGGAGGCAGCAGUGGGGAAUCUUGCGCAAGGGGCGAAAGCCUGACGCAGCCAGGCCGGGUGAAUGAGGAAGGUCUUAGGAUUGUAAAAUUCUUUCGGCGGGGAGGAUAAGGACGGAACCGGCAGAGGAAGCCCGGGCAAAUUUCGG